AGUAUUUUGACUAUACAAAGGUAUUGAAAUAAGAUUUUAAUUGAAUGCUAAGAGAAUGGAAUUUCAGAAAAAAACUUUUUUCAAGUUAAAAAUUGAAAUUUUUUUAAUUUGUGCAGAAACAAUUAUUAAUAUUAAGGACAAGAAGACCCUAUGAAUUUAUAAAUUUUAUUUAAUAUGUAACUACUAUUGAAAAAAUUUUAGCUGGGGCGGCGGAAAAAUAUUUAAAACUUUUUUAAAAUAAAAUGACCCAUUAUUAAUGAUUAUAUGUUAAAUACUCUAGGGAUAACAGCGUUAUAUUUUUUGAUAGAUCAUAUUGACAAAAAAGUUUGCGACCUCGAUGUUGGAUUAGGAUACUUUUUUAAUGCAGAUAUUAAAAAAAGAA
rnacentral:rRNA from 1 species